AUCCGAUUGAGAAUGCUAGAGAAGAUCUUGACUUUUGAGGCAGCUUGGUUUGAUGAAGAUCAAAACUCUAGUGGGGCUUUAUGUUCAAGAUUGAGCAAUGAGGCCUCUAUGGUUAAAUCCCUUGUCGCGGACAGAGUUUCUUUGUCAGUUCAAACUACUUCUGCAGUUACCAUAGCAAUGAUCAUGGGGCUAGUUGUGGCAUGGAAGCUUGCACUUGUCAUGAUCGCG
rnacentral:misc_RNA from 1 species